GCGUUGCUCGGAAUCACUGGGCGUAAAGCGCACGUAGGCGGAUUGCUAAGUCAGGGGUGAAAGCCUGGUGCUCAACACCAGAAUUGCCUUUAAGACUGCAUCGCUUGAACGUCGGAGAGGUGAGUGGAAUUCCGAGUGUAGAGGUGAAAUUCGUAGAUAUUCGGAAGAACACCAGUGGCGAAGGCGGCUCACUGGACGACUGUUGACGCUGAGGUGCGAAAGCGUGGGGAGCAAACAGG
rnacentral:rRNA from 1 species